CUUCCAGGGCCAUUCUGGAUUUCCUUAGGCUAUAAAAACGUUUAAGCCUCUAAACAUAUCAGACCUGUUUUCCUGCAUUCCACAUCUACAGCUUACCUGUACCCUAAAGAACAUAAAGGAAACAGAUAAGUGUCAAGAAGCCUUCAGUGGUACUUCUUCCAUGGAGAAUGUGUGGAAAAAUGCAAAUGCUGUGCACGUGUGAAAGAGAGGCCAGACUCAAAGCUGUUCCUGAAUGUUGAUCCUUAACACUAUCAGAGUGAUAAACUUCUCCUCUUUGUCAGAAAUGUCACCUUAGAGGUGAAGUGAGUAGCAGCUGUGAGUCACAGUGGCAGUGCAGGCUCUGUCGAUGGGAACUUGUUUUCUCACCGUCUGUUCCAUGAGCUGCCAUCCCCCACAGCUCCUCAGACUGCUGUCUGCACGGACCACGCAGUCAGGACUGAACUCAGCUGGGAGUAGUUUUAUGUGUGCCUACUGAGUGAGGGCUGCGCUUCUGGUUUCUGUUGAAAUCCAAACCCAUUUUGUUAGCUUUUCCUUACAGAAGAACAAGAACGCUUGGCCCUCUGUUGGCUUUGCCCUUUUUCACACAAGCUCUUGACAUAGAAGUUUUCUCCUUUGGUCUCUCAGGUCCUUUACUGUGAAUAAUAAUCCAUGUUUCCUGUUUUUAUUAUUAUUAUUUCUUUUCUACACAGGCUUUAAGAGCAGUAGAGCUUUCCCUGUCUGUAGAGCUAAUCUGCAGUGCUGAAAGCUGUGGAUGCUGGUUUGGCUGCCUGUCUGCAAAAGAAAAGGGAGACCUAUCAAUCAACAAGAAAUGCUGAGAGCAGCAAAUGAAACUCUUUGCUUUUUCCAUUGGGCAACAAGGGCCUCUCAGGAUUAAACCUCUUCUAAAUUUAGCUACAUCUCACUAGAGUUAGGAUCAGGAGUUAUCAGAAGGCAAUGACGUCUGUCCUCUGGAAGUCUGAGUCCUGGCAUGCACCUCUCGUACUCUGUGCUGCAGCAGGUUGGAGCUGGGAACAUUCUGCACAGCAUGGGACUCUUCAGACGUGGCAGGAUUUCUCAGAGCACUUGAAAUACAUACUCUCAGCUGCCUGCUUGUGUUUAUUAUUCUGUCCAGGUCCUGAGCAAAACUUGUUCAUGCUCUGAAAUGGACAUCAUGGGAGAGCAGAAUGGUUAAGCCAUGUGAAACAUUCUGCUGCUUUUUUUUGUUGUUGUUGUUCUUAAUAUGUGUAAGACUUGCACAGACCUUCUUUUCUAUUGGUAUUAAAUAUCACAUUCCAAUGCAACUUAAAUUCUCAGCUGUUCUGGUAAGGAGUACUAAUUAACAUUUUCAGAGUUAGAUUUGAGGAGACAUAAGUGAAACCCAUCAAAAAUCAAUAGCCCUUUGCAGGUCCCCAUUGAGUCAUCCAGGCAGGGAGCUCCUUUGCUCCUUGUGGCAUGGAAGCAUGUUAACCUGCUGGGAAAUGCCCAGCAUGCACAGGCAACUAAGAGCUUCCCAGAUGUGUAGAAGCUGUAUUGAACCCUGUGCCCCUAUAGCGUUGGUUAAAAAGAAGUUACUUCUGAAAGAAACAUCUUUGCUAGCUGGAAUGAAGGAGGCCUGUCUGAAAUUGUACUAAAGGUUACCAGUGCUGAGCCAUGGAAAUUCAAGAAAGGUUCCUUAUCUCUCACUAUGAAAAGCUCCACUAAAUGAAAGUUGUGACCU
rnacentral:lncRNA from 7 species